ACGCGAAACCCUCCUUCGGGAGGGGAGUAGAGUGGCGCACGGGUGAGUAACACGUAGGUAAUUUGCCUUCGGGUGGGGAAUAACUCAGGGAAACUUGAGCUAAUACCGCAUAAUGCAGCGGCUCGACAUCGAGACAGUUGUUAAAGCGGGGGAUCGCAAGACCUCGCGCCUGAAGAGAAGCCUGCGGCAGAUUAGCUAGUUGGUAAGGUAAUGGCUUACCAAGGCGACGAUCUGUAACCGGCCUGAGAGGGCGGUCGGUCACACUGACACUGACAUACGGGUCAGACUCCUACGGGAGGCAGCAGUCGGGAAUUUUGGGCAAUGGGCGAAAGCCUGACCCAGCAACGCCGCGUGAAGGAUGAAAUCCCUCGGGAUGUAAACUUCGUAAGAACAGGAAGAAUAAGUAGGGGACAAUACCCCCUAUGAUGACGGUACUGUUUGUAAGCUCCGGCUAACUCCGUGCCAGCAGCCGCGGUAAUACGGGGGGAGCAAGCGUUGUUCGGAUUUACUGGGCGUAAAGGGCGCGUAGGCGGCCACGACAAGUCACUUGUGAAAUCUCCGGGCUUAACCCGGAACGGUCAAGUGAUACUGUCGGGCUAGAGUGCAGAAGGGGCAACUGGAAUUCUCGGUGUAGCGGUGAAAUGCGUAGAUAUCGAGAGGAACACCUGCGGCGAAAGCGGGUUGCUGGGCUGACACUGACGCUGAGGCGCGAAAGCUAGGGGAGCGAACGGGAUUAGAUACCCCGGUAGUCCUAGCCUUAAACG
rnacentral:rRNA from 1 species